rnacentral:rRNA from 1 species
UACGUAGGCAGCGAGCGUUUGUUCGGAAUUACUGGGCGUAAAGAGUGUGUAGGCGGUGCUCCCAGUCUGUUGUGAAAUCUCCCGGCUUAACUGGGAGGGUGCAUUAGAAACUGGAAUGCUAGAGGAUGGGAGAGGUAAGCGGAAUUCCUGGUGUAGCGGUGAAAUGCGUAGAUAUCAGGAGGAACACCUGUGGUGUAGACAGCUUACUGGACCAUUUCUGACGCUGAGACACGAAAGCGUGGGUAGCAAACAGG